GGUCAGAUGGCUGAGAGGAAGGCAAAGGCCCGCAAGUCCUUGUACAGUGGUUCGAAUCCACUUCUGACCU
rnacentral:tRNA from 1 species